rnacentral:lncRNA from 1 species
AGCCCGGUCCAGGCUGCCCGUGUGGACGCGCACCAGUGAGCAGAGCCGGAAUCUUUCCAGGCCUCUCAUCUCAUUUGCACCCUGAUGUGCCCAUCCGCUGGAGGUGGCCCUACUAAGCGUCAGCUAUGCACCAGCCCCACAAUCAUGCUUUGACCUGUCAUUCAGUCUCCACCACAGCCUUACCACUUAGAUCACCUUCGGAUCACUCUACAGAAAAACGAGC